rnacentral:rRNA from 1 species
UACGUAGGGUGCAGGCGUUAAUCGGAAUUACUGGGCGUAAAGCGUGCGCAGGCGGUCUGCUAAGAGAGGUGUGAAAUCCCCGGGCUUAACCUGGGAACUGCGCUUCUAACUGGCAGGCUUGAGUGUGGCAGAGGGGGGGUGGAAUUCCACGUGUAGCAGGUGAAAUGCGUAGAUAUGCGGAGGAACACCGAUGGCGAAGGGCAAUCCCCUGGGCCUGGCACUGG